AAAACUUUCAACAACGGAUCUCUUGGUUCUGGCAUCGAUGAAGAACGCAGCGAAAUGCGAUAAGUAAUGUGAAUUGCAGAAUUCAGUGAAUCAUCGAAUCUUUGAACGCACAUUGCGCCC
rnacentral:rRNA from 20 species